GAUGAACGCUAGCGACAGGCCUAACACAUGCAAGUCGAGGGGCAGCACAUGAGUAGCAAUACGAUGGUGGCGACCGGCGCACGGGUGAGUAACACGUAUGCAACCUGCCUGUAAGAGGGGAAUAACCCGGAGAAAUUCGGACUAAUACCGCAUAAUACCACGAGACUGCAUGGUUUUGUGGUUAAACAUUUAUGGCUUACAGAUGGGCAUGCGUAUGAUUAGAUAGUUGGUAGGGUAACGGCCUACCAAGUCUACGAUCAUUAGGGGUUCUGAGAGGAAGGUCCCCCACACUGGUACUGAGACACGGACCAGACUCCUACGGGAGGCAGCAGUGAGGAAUAUUGGCCAAUGGGCGAGAGCCUGAACCAGCCAAGUCGCGUGAAGGAAGUAGGUUCUAUGGAUUGUAAACUUCUUUUGCAGGGGAAUAAAUGACGGUACGUGUACUGUUUUGUAUGUACCUUGCGAAUAAGGAUCGGCUAACUCCGUGCCAGCCGCCGCCGUAACAC
rnacentral:rRNA from 1 species